rnacentral:sRNA from 1 species
AUAAGUUAAGAAGACCUUAACUUAAACUCCUAAAACUUUUUCAUAAUAAUCUCCCUAUAAAAAAUAAAGUCGCCCAAUCAGGCGGCUUAUUUUUUU